UACGAAGGGUGCAAACGUUGCUCGGAAUUAUUGGGCGUAAAGCGCGUGUAGGCGGCCACGCAGGUCCGCUGUGAAAACUCGAGGCUCAACCUCGAGCUGUCGGUGGAAACCGCGUGGCUAGAGUCCGGAAGAGGGGACUGGAAUUCCCGGUGUAGCGGUGGAAUGCGCAGAUAUCGGGAGGAACACCCGUGGCGAAGGCGGGUCCCUGGGACGGUACUGACGCUGAGACGCGAAAGCGUGGGGAGCGAACAGG
rnacentral:rRNA from 1 species